AUACGGAGCGAAUGUUCUGCGAUCAAUUGCGUAUUUUACCUGUUAAAAAUGUAUAAUGAGUGCGAAUUGUGGUCGGGAGUGCCGAUUAAAGUGACGGGCGAUGAUCGGAGCGUAUUUGCCGCGGAUGUUUUGUAAUUUACAAUGAUUCGGCGUUCGCUUGGUGGCUGGACCAUGAAUGCGCGGUUUCAGUAAAACAUGUGUUGUGUGCGUGACGACUUCCGUAUGAUCGUCGAAUACUCGUUGCUCAUCUCGCUUGUUUGGAGUUGUGUAUAGUAUCGAAAAGGUCGUCGAAAACAAGAUAAUAAUCGGAUAAUACUGUGCGGACGCGAUAUGAAGUACAUUUUAACUCAAGUUUGUUUUAUGUAUCGUAGCAAGUUGAAAAUAUCAAUCCGUCUGUGAUUUUCGUGUUGUUUUGAAAGUGAAGUACGCAAGAAUUCUCAGUAUUCAUUGAUUCUUGAGAGAACCGGUGAUUGCUCCUUGUAGAGCAAUCUAAGGCGGAAUUUGCAGCGAGUAGAAUAAACUGCAAUACCCUAGCUGGUACAGCUCUCUAAAGGCGUACUUGGCUAGGGUACGACGAUCGGUGAG